AUAGCCGCCCGAAAGGACGGGUAAUACCGGAUACCCCCGGGCGCCGCAUGGCGCCCGGGCUAAAGCCCCGACGGGAGGGGAUGGCUCCGCGGCCCAUCAGGUAGACGGCGGGGUGACGGCCCACCGUGCCGACAACGGGUAGCCGGGUUGAGAGACCGACCGGCCAGAUUGGGACUGAGACACGGCCCAGACUCCUACGGGAGGCAGCAGUGGGGAAUCUUGCGCAAUGGGGGGAACCCUGACGCAGCGACGCCGCGUGCGGGACGGAGGCCUUCGGGUCGUAAACCGCUUUCAGCAGGGAAGAGUCAAGACUGUACCUGCAGAAGAAGCCCCGGCUAACUACGUGCCAGCAGCCGCGGUAAUACGUAGGGGGCGAGCGUUAUCCGGAUUCAUUGGGCGUAAAGCGCGCGUAGGCGGCCCGGCAGGCCGGGGGUCGAAGCGGGGGGCUCAACCCCCCGAAGCCCCCGGAACCUCCGCGGCUUGGGUCCGGUAGGGGAGGGUGGAACACCCGGUGUAGCGGUGGAAUGCGCAGAUAUCGGGUGGAACACCGGUGGCGAAGGCGGCCCUCUGGGCCGAGACCGACGCUGAGGCGCGAAAGCUGGGGGAGCGAACAGGAUUAGAUACCCUGGUAGUCCCAGCCGU
rnacentral:rRNA from 1 species